rnacentral:rRNA from 1 species
GUUCUCAGUUCGGACUGUAGGCUGCAACUCGCCUACACGAAGCUGGAAUCGCUAGUAAUCGCGGAUCAGCACGCCGCGGUGAAUACGUUCCCGGGCCUUGUACACACCGCCCGUCACACCAUGAGAGUCUGUAACACCCAAAGCCGGUGGGAUAACCUUUAUAGGAGUCAGCCGUCUAAGGUAGGACAGAUGAUUAGGGUGAAGUCGUAACAAGGUACC